rnacentral:lncRNA from 1 species
GGGGCUUGACCCCAGGAGUUGGUGGGACUUGACCCCAGGAGUUGGUGGGGCUUGACCCCAGGAGUUGGUGGGGCUUGACCCCAGGAGUUGGUGGGGCUUGACCCCAGGAGUCGGUGGGACUUGACCCCAGGAGUUGGUGGGACUUGACCCCAGGAGUUGGUGGGACUUGACCCCAGGAGUCGGUGGGACUUAAACCUAUACAUUUCGAAAUGAUUUGUGAUGAGAAAGAAUAAUACAGUGCAUAUAUCAGGAGACCAGAUCAAUGUAAAUUAGCAUAAUCAUAUGCACGUGAAGUAUUGUAUUGUUUUCCAGGAGCCCAGUGAACCUGAAGAGAAUGAGACGAAGCCACAGUCCUCAGAGCUGCUUGUUAUCAACAGCAUAGCUCCUCCAGACAGCUGGGAACCAGCCCACACUGAUAUCGAACCUGAGCAACUGACAGAGACAGAAAUGCUGAUCCUGUCACAGACAGAGAAUCGGACAGCGAUACAGACACAGGACCAAACACAGACAUUAUCACAGACAGAGGAGUUUAUCAUACUUGAUCAGAAUGGACAGCCCAUACAGUGUGAACGCGUGGUGAUACUGACCGGUCAGUCAGACAACGGAGAGAUGUACGUUAUCCCCUCUAAUCAGGUAUUACUUCCUCGUGGACAACUACUGGACAUCAUAGACCUCACAGGAUCCUGCGGAGGGAAGACCGCGGAUGAGGAAGAGCUUCACACUAUCACGUUAACGGCCGUUACGGACGACAGCGGCGGUUCGACGACGGCCGUUACGGACGACAGCGGCGGUUCGACGUCGGCCGUUACGGACGACAGCGGCGGUUCGACGUCGGCCGUUACGGACGACAGCGGCGGUUCGACGACGGCCGUUACGGACGACAGCGGCGGUUCGACGUCGGCCGUUACGGACGGCAGCGGCGGUUCGACGUCGGUAACGUCGGCCGUUACGGACGGCAGCGGCGGUUCGACGACGGCCGUUACGGACGACAGCAGCGGUUCGACGACGGUAACAUCGGCUGCAGCUAACACCUCGGCACAGAGCUCUCAGGACUGUUUCGCCUCUCUUCUGAAACCUCUCCCAUCCAACGCCCCCAUCUGGGCCCUGAGGCUUCAUAAUGCUGAG